GUUAAAACAUUGGUUCCUGUACGAUCACCGAAGUUAAGCAACGUCGAGGCUGCUAAAUACCUCGAUGGGUGACCACUUCGGAAUAUCAGGUGUUGUAAGC